CAUUGUAAUGGGACACUUUUCUUGGAAGUUUGUUUAAAUGGGCACUGUCACUGUCUAGGAACUUUGCCCAAUUUGCAAGGGCCCCCAAUGGUGACAUUACUGCUGGGUGUCCAGAGGCCAGGGGGAGGGGGCAGAUAAACGUGAUAUUUACCUACCUGAACCUGUCCCUUGUGGGUGUCGCCAUCUUAUUUUCAGGCGGGUCCUCUUCAGCUCCGAAGUCACUG